GACGAACGCUGGCGGCGUGCUUAACACAUGCAAGUCGAACGGAAAGGCCCUGCUUUUGUGGGGUUCUCGAGUGGCGAACGGGUGAGUAACACGUGAGUAACCUGCCCUUGACUUUGGGAUAACUUCAGGAAACUGGGGCUAAUACCGGAUAGGAGCUCCUGCUGCAUGGUGGGGGUUGGAAAGUUUCGGCGGUUGGGGAUGGACUCGCGGCUUAUCAGCUUGUUGGUGGGGUAGUGGUUUACCAAGGCUUUGACGGGUAGCCUGCCUGAGAGGGUGACCGGCCACCUUGGGACUGAGAUACGGCCCAGACUGCUACGGGAGGCAGCAGUGGGGAAUAUUGCACAAUGGGGGGACGCGUGAUGUAGCAACGCCGCGUGCGGGAUGCCGGCCUUCGGGUUGUAAACCGCUUUCGCCUGUGCCGAAGCGUGAGUGACGGUAAUGGGUAAAGAAGCACCGGCUAACUACGUG
rnacentral:rRNA from 1 species